CCCUCGAUUACAACCUCAGCAUUUAGUGGAACCCUUCCCCCUUCAUUACAGCCCCCAGGCAUUGCAAUGGCUAUGUCUUUUUGUGGACAUAUGAUGCCUCACUCGGCCGGCAUGGAUCGUCCAAUAUCUGAGCGUCCCGAUCUGGCGCAGAUCUUUGAUGCAAAUCGUAUAACACCCC
rnacentral:rRNA from 1 species